rnacentral:rRNA from 1 species
GACGAACGCUGGCGGCGUGCCUAAUACAUGCAAGUCGAACGCAGUGGGGACGGGUGAGUAACACGUGGGUAACCUCCCAUCAGAGGGGAUAACACUUGGAAACAGGUGCUAAACCGAUACGCAUCGCAGGACCCGCGUGGCAUUAGCUAGUGGGUGAGGUAACGGCUUACCAAGGCCACGAUGCAGAGCCGACCUGAGAGGGGGAUCGGCCACACUGGGACUGAGACACGGCCCAGACCCCUACGGGAGGCAGCAGUAGGGAAUCUUCGGCAAUGGACGAAAGUCUGACCGAGCAACGCCGCGUGAGUUAAGAAGGUUUUCGGAUCGUAAAACUCUGUUGUUAGAGAAGCGGUAUCUAACCAGAAAGCCACGGCUAACUACGUGCCAGCAGCCGCGGUAAUAC